rnacentral:rRNA from 1 species
GACGAACCGAGCGAACGUUGUUCGGAAUCACUGGGCUUAAAGGGCGCGUAGGCGGCUUGUCAAGUCAGGGGUGAAAUCUUUCGGCUUAACCGGAAAAGUGCCCUUGAUACUGACAAGCUAGAGGGAGGUAGGGGCAUGUGGAACUUCUGGUGGAGCGGUGAAAUGCGUUGAUAUCAGAAGGAACGCCGGUGGCGAAAGCGACGUGCUGGACCUCUUCUGACGCUGAGGCGCGAAAGCUAGGGGAGCAAACGGG